GACGAACGCUGGCGGCGUGCCUAAUACAUGCAAGUCGAACGAACCGCGACUAAGUGCUUGCACUAAGUCAAGGUGAGUGGCGAACGGGUGAGUAACACGUGGGUAACCUACCUCAUAGUGGGGGAUAACAGUCGGAAACGACUGCUAAUACCGCAUAGGACAUAGGAUCACAUGAUCCAGUGAGGAAAGGUGGCGCAAGCUAUCGCUAAGAGAUGGACCCGCGGUGCAUUAGCUAGUUGGUAGGGUAAAGGCCUACCAAGGCGAUGAUGCAUAGCCGACCUGAGAGGGUGAUCGGCCACAUUGGGACUGAGACACGGCCCAAACUCCUACGGGAGGCAGCAGUAGGGAAUCUUCCGCAAUGGACGCAAGUCUGACGGAGCAACGCCGCGUGAGUAAAGAAGGUCUUCGGAUCGUAAAGCUCUGUUGUUAGAGAAGAACAGCGCAUAGAGUAACUGCUAUGCGUGUGACGGUAUCUAACCAGAAAGCCACGGCUAACUACGUG
rnacentral:rRNA from 1 species